rnacentral:rRNA from 1 species
UACGGAGGGUGCAAGCGUUAUCCGGAUUCACUGGGUUUAAAGGGUGCGUAGGCGGGUAUAUAAGUCAGUGGUGAAAGCUCCGGGCUUAACUUGGAAACUGCCAUUGAUACUGUAUAUCUUGAAUGUCGUAGAGGUUAGCGGAAUGUUGCAUGUAGCGGUGAAAUGCUUAGAUAUGUUACAGAACACCAAUUGCGAAGGCAGCUAACUAUGCGAUGAUUGACGCUGAGGCACGAAAGCGUGGGGAGCAAGCAGG